rnacentral:rRNA from 1 species
AUGAGGACCCAAUUUACUUCCUCUCGCAGAAAAGAAGAUCAGGCUUAUCAGCAUCAGUUCAUUUUGCAUGCUGCAUUAGAUGUUGUUCAGGACCUUGCAUGGGCUACAAGUUUGUUUCUGAAGUCAGUAGAUAGAUUCAACGAUCUUGUGGUGUCUGUUUAUAUAACUGCUGGUCAUACUAGAUUUAUGUUGCUUCAUGAUUCACGGAGUGAAGAUGGUAUAAAAAGCUUCUUUCAGGAAGUUCACGAACUUUACAUCAAGAUAUUCCUUAAUCCACUCUACUUGCCUGGUUCUCGCAUCACAUCCUCUCAUUUCAAUACCAAGGUCAGGGCUCUUGCAAGGAAAUACCUGUAG